AGAUACCAACUUCCAAGAAAAAAAAAGAAAAAAAAAACUUUCCUUAAUUUUCCCAUGGUGACAUAAAUACCCUUCAAUAAAAAUUUCACCAUACCAUCUCCCGAAGAAAUUGGUCCAAUUACAGAUGCAAUUGCUAGACCAAGCCAUAUCCAUGCUAUUCAAACUCCAAGUAUUCAGAAAAAAAAUAAAAAAAUGUUUCAAAGUCAACCAAAACAGAUUCUGACCAAAUUGUCCCUUCAUCCUUAAAAUAAACAUUCGGCUAUGAUUAAGCUCCAAACAUUCAAAUUUCCCUUUAUAGUAUUUAUUAGAGUAGUACCCAUUAUCAACCAAAGAUAAAAGUAAUCAAUUGAUCUUUUUGCCAAUCCCUUCGCUAAUAUAGUAGCAUAACUUAAAUUCCAAUUUCCAAAAGAACACCACUUAGCAACUAAGAAUCCAACGAAUUGAAGAAUUAAACUCAAACCAAUAUCCUUGUUUAUGAAGUCCCUAUCCUUCUUGCAGCAAUACACAAAUAAAUCAUAAUCUUCUCACCUGUUACAGAUUUGUAUGACUUAGUUCCAAAGUUACUAAUUAAGAUCUCUCUUAUUAAAGUUAUGAUUUAGGAAAAUACUUAGUGAUGAUACAUUCUUAUUGGAAAUCGCUGUGAGCCUUCCUAGAAGAUACUUGGUGAUAAUAAAUUCAUAUUAGCAUCUUCUUCCAUAUCUUCUUCAUUAGCAUCCCAAAGAAACCGAUCAUAUGAAGCAAUUACAUAACCGUGUGAUGAUCGAAUGAACAAAAAUUAGUUUAACAACCAAAAUUCGAUCCAUAAAAGGAAGGUAAAUUUUUUCAAUUGUUGUGAAGAUGUUUAGCGAUCAAAGUAACCAUCUGUACGAAUUCCAUCCUUUUGUGUCUCCCAUAUCAAAUCAACAUACAUUAUUGAAAAAGACUUACCAUCUUUAGGGUUUGCCAGGAUUUCUCUGCUACAAUACUCUUCAGUGCACGAUAAUGUUCUCACACCUUUUGAAAGAACCAAUCAAAACAUGAAAUUGGAACAGAAACCCAAAAUAUAAUGCAUUAUAAAACUGAAAAUCUUUCUAUUAUCUCCCCGGAUUUCCAUUUGAUUAGCUUAGGUCCAAUUGAAAUUGAAAAGAUUCUUAAUUUUACAGAAGGGGAACGUAGGGGAAAUCGACCGAUUACAUACAAGUAAUCUAAAAUUGAAGUAUACAACAUCAAUAAACGUAACGACGAAGAAAAGUAGUAGGUACCUUGAAAGCUGACCCCAUGGAUUGAUUUGAAUGGAAUGGACAAACAAAUUGUUUGAGCUUUGAAUCUACGCUCCCUAGUGAAGGAAAAUGCUUUCUCUUUUCCAAUCCAAGCCACAACUCGAAGCCUUGAAUACCACUUUCCCAUGUAAGUCACCUAAUUUGUCCUGCCGUUGAAGUCCAUCUGAAUUCAUGAAUGGAAGCGUAAGGCAUUAUUGGGCAUAUCCUUUCGAUAUCAUCUUCCAUUACCACACACAAAUUAUGGUGAUAUAAUAUCAUCUUCCAUAACUGUUGACAUCAAAUGAAACAAUUCAACCGAUUGUUUGAAACGUAGAAACAUUGAACAUCUUCCGAUCAUUAUAUACGACAUUUUUCUCUAUUGUGGUUAGGUCAGUUACCGAUUAAGAAGGAAGCAACCUCCUUAUCGUGGUUGGUUGAAGGAGAAGUGCCAUAAUUAAAACAUUGUUGGAAGGAUCGAUAAACCGACUGUGAACGUGGGGGAGAAGAAGAAGGAAGCGUGCUGAAAGACGAUGAACCUCCGAUUAACCGAUUGCUGGAAUCGUCUUGUAACCGUAGAUAAGGAGUUUAAAUGGUUGAGUUUAAAAGUUGCAGGAGUUUGAACGGCUCAAAUUGGGACGACCGUAGUUAUACUCACCCUCGUCAAUACUGUUA
rnacentral:lncRNA from 1 species